rnacentral:rRNA from 1 species
GAUGAACGCUGGCGGCGUGCUUAACACAUGCAAGUCGAACGAUGAAGCCCAGCUUGCUGGGUGGAUUAGUGGCGAACGGGUGAGUAACACGUGAGUAACCUGCCCUUAACUCUGGGAUAAGCCUGGGAAACUGGGUCUAAUACCGGAUAGGAGCGUCCACCGCAUGGUGGGUGUUGGAAAGAUUUAUCGGUUUUGGAUGGACUCGCGGCCUAUCAGCUUGUUGGUGAGGUAAUGGCUCACCAAGGCGACGACGGGUAACCGGCCUGAGAGGGUGACCGGCCACACUGGGACUGAGACACGGCCCAGACUCCUACGGGAGGCAGCAGUGGGGAAUAUUGCACAAUGGGCGAAAGCCUGAUGCAGCGACGCCGCGUGAGGGAUGACGGCCUUCGGGUUGUAAACCUCUUUCAGUAGGGAAGAAGCGAAAGUGACGGUACCUGCAGAAGAAGCACCGGCUAACUACGUG